CAUAGCAUGCAGGGAAAGGAGCGUGGCCAAUUCAUGCAGUGCCCUUCAAGACCAACACACGGCCCUUGGGGGCUGCCGGGGCCCGACUUCAGGGAGCUAUUAUUAGAGUCACGUCAUGGGAGAGCCAGCGAGGAGAGAGGGAGGCGAAGUGACAGAUGGGGGGAGGGGAGAGAUAACGGACACAGAGCAUAGUGGUGCUGCUGAUGAUGGAGGGGAUGUAAAGUAAAGGCUGGGAAAAUACUGAUGUCAUGAGGUUCAUGUUUAACCAUGUAGCAGCAGAAAUAAACUGCAAGUCCUCCUAAUGAAACCACAAAAUACACUGUAGGUCCAUGAACCCCAGAAUGACACAUACAAGUGUUUUCUGAUCGGACGCCCCCAUCAGCAGGUUACUGUCCGAAACCGUUGCACAUCACUGUUGGAAAAUACGAUGUGACAACGCUAUGGUUAAGGUCUGGUUUGGUUUAGGCAAGCAAGUGGUAAUUACCACAUCUUGAGGUUGAAGUACCUUAAAGUGGCACCAACAACCACUGGCUCCAUUCAAAAAGCCUCAUCUUCUCUCUCGAAAUAUCAAUCAAUCAUUCUUUUCAAUAAGAUUAAAAUAAUAAGAUGUGAAGACUUAUAGAAGCUUUGAUGUCUGCCGUGUGGUCAUGGUUUGGGUUGAAAUUGUCUCACAGUUGGAAACAGGAAGUGAACUCCUGCGUUACCAUUCAAUGUUUACAUGGACUCACCUGAUUUCCUCCCUUGAAAACAACCAAACAUCUCGUUUCCAUAGAAACGGUCAGGUAAGAGACUGUGCGCUGCUCUUUACUGAAGAUGGGGAGGUCAACCAGACCUACAUUUUCCUCAUCAUAGUCUUUUCUCUUGUAAAAGUAAAACAUUUUGUCUACAUAUUCCAUUAUUUCCAUUAUUUUCUCAUAUCUGGACAUCUUUGAACUCUCAUAUAACUUAAUAUUGUAUUUGCAAGUGCAUGUAGGGGUUAGUAUCCUGUAGGCCUUCCAGAGCAUUGGUACAUGUCCGCAAGAUGAAAUGAAGCACAUCAAGUAAGGUCAGCAGUUGUGAGAAAUCAGGAAUUUCUCAAUGAAUGAGAUUUUGAUGUCGGCCAGGGAUGACUCAGCUCUGACCUGCACACUAGUGAUUAUACUCUUUGAUCCUACAGGUACGUAUAAAGUAUACAAGCAAGGACAUGAACAGAGUACAUAAAACAUCUUGUUGUAUUUUUGCACCUAUAUAAUGGCCACAAAAAUUGACACGUUUGUUAAAUGUACUUUUCCCAAUGUGGUGAGUAUCUUUGAUUUCAUAGUCAGUUGGUAAAACGUAUUGUAUUGUUGCUAUGGUUACAUGAGUAGCUGAGUUCCUGGAACUGUUUCAGAAUCAGUUUUAUUGGCCAAGUAUGUUUAAACCUACAAGGAAUUUGACUCCAGUUUCUAGUGGCUCUCAAUGUAUUUAAUGGACAAAAAGUGUUUUGUGAGGCUACAAGAUAAAGGGCCGUACGAGCAGUUUUAUAUGCUGUGUUAUUGACACAGUUGACUCAAGGGAGCAGUGAGAUGUUUUGUUGUCUGGAUAAGAUUCUUUAUGAUCUGUCAGCAGGACGUGAUUUGACGACGGCUCGCUCUCAAGGUUCAGUGUAAAUAAAGAAACAUCAGCUGGCAGCAUCAAUGUCCAAACAGCAGUUUCAUCAUCAUAACACUGACCUAAAUGGGACACGUUGUCAAUGAGCUGAUCGAUAGGAGCACUUAAGAUGGCAGUAAGUCAGCGAGCACAGUGACAUAUUGAUGCCAGAGGAGAUUCUGUGCAAGCUGAGCGGGUGAAGGAGAGACGUGCUGGCAGGUUUGACAACUGAUCGCUGUCUUCAGAUAACAGGAAAACCUCCGAGGAAGAUGGGCAGGGAAAAGGAGGAAACUUUUAGAUUUCAUUUGACCUCUGGCCUUUCUUCAAGCGCCACCUUCAGGACAAAGUUGACGUUUUUAGCUCCGCAGCUGAUUUGGAAACACUGCUGUAUCUGGGCUGAGAUGGAGGCUCACUACAUGUUGAUUCACGUGUGAGCAGAGAAGAUCCAGAAACGCUGCAGGAAGUCGACAGUGAACAGACUGAAAGCAGAUUCUCAGAUCUGCUGCAUGAAUAAAUGAUAGAUGGAGUACAGAGUCCCACAGCAGGAGGACACACAGUUUCCCUGUUUAACAGUCCGGCUGCUCCUGCCUGUACGGAGGAUAAAUAACAGUCCGGUCAGAUCGUAGUGGGACGCUGCAGAGAGGAAGAACAGUCUGAAACAUCUGUAUUCUUGUUUGUUUAUAUAUAUAUAUGACUCUAAAGGAAGAAAUAAUAUGAAUUAAACAAGAGAACACGAGGAGGAAAUGCAUAAAAACCUGCAUUCACCAAUUAUUAAAACAUGAACAUGUCCUGUACACAAUUAGUGGAACAUUUGACUUCAUACAGCUUGACGCAUGAUGUUAACUCUAGUGAGGAGGAUAAAAUAAUGCACUUUUAUUCUUGUGUUUAAUCUGUUUUAUUCUAUUGAAGCUUAUUUUUUUUAUCUUCCAUUACUUUUAUAUAUGAGGUUUUAUACUAAUAAACUCGCCCUGCAUGAUCCCGUCAGGCUCCCAUUGACGUCAUGUGUUCAGCAACAAGGAAGUUCUCUGGCUUUGUAAUUUUGUCUUUUAUCUUCUGGUCUACACAGGAAGUGGGGAUGUCUUGUGUUCUGAUCAGCUUGUGCCUGCGUUUUAUCAAAUAUCUGACCAGUUUUAUAAAAUAACAGACUGACAGAGCUGAAAGAACACAGGAGGCUUUUCUCCCUCAGCAGUCCAACAAACACUGAGUGUUAUUUACACAGCAGCACUAAUUAGAUCAUUAUAAUAGUCAUUUUAGUGUGUUUUAUUAUGUGUUUAUAAGAAUAUAAUAUCAGAACAGAAGUUAUCUGAAUAGUGUUAGUUACACUAUUACACACAGUCCAGGUUUUUUAUCGUGUAACAAGCAGAUUAUUCCAAAUAUAUUAUCAAUACAUAUGUUAUGUUACACAGUUGGAUGAAAUUAUGUGUUUGAAUUCAAAUGUAACUUUGUUUUCAAAGAUAA